GACGAACGCUGGCGGCGUGCUUAACACAUGCAAGUCGAACGGAAAGGCCCUGCUUUUGUGGGGUGCUCGAGUGGCGAACGGGUGAGUAACACGUGAGUAACCUGCCCUUGACUUUGGGAUAACUUCAGGAAACUGGGGCUAAUACCGGAUAGGAGCUCCUGCUGCAUGGUGGGGGUUGGAAAGUUUCGGCGGUUGGGGAUGGACUCGCGGCUUAUCAGCUUGUUGGUGGGGUAGUGGCUUACCAAGGCUUUGACGGGUAGCCGGCCUGAGAGGGUGACCGGCCACAUUGGGACUGAGAUACGGCCCAGACUCCUACGGGAGGCAGCAGUGGGGAAUAUUGCACAAUGGGCGGAAGCCUGAUGCAGCAACGCCGCGUGCGGGAUGACGGCCUUCGGGUUGUAAACCGCUUUCGCCUGUGACGAAGCGUGAGUGACGGUAAUGGGUAAAGAAGCACCGGCUAACUACGUGCCAGCAGCCGCGGUGAUACGUAGGGUGCGAGCGUUGUCCGGAUUUAUUGGGCGUAAAGGGCUCGUAGGUGGUUGAUCGCGUCGGAAGUGUAAUCUUGGGGCUUAACCCUGAGCGUGCUUUCGAUACGGGUUGACUUGAGGAAGGUAGGGGAGAAUGGAAUUCCUGGUGGAGCGGUGGAAUGCGCAGAUAUCAGGAGGAACACCAGUGGCGAAGGCGGUUCUCUGGGCCUUUCCUGACGCUGAGGAGCGAAAGCGUGGGGAGCGAACAGGCUUAGAUACCCUGGUAGUCCACGCUGUAAACGGUGGGUACUAGGUGUGGGGUCCAUUCCACGGGUUCCGUGCCGUAGCUAACGCUUUAAGUACCCCGCCUGGGGAGUACGGCCGCAAGGCUAAAACUCAAAGGAAUUGACGGGGCCCCGCACAAGCGGCGGAGCAUGCGGAUUAAUUCGAUGCAACGCGUAGAACCUUACCUGGGUUUGACAUGGAUCGGGAGCGCUCAGAGAUGGGUGUGCCUCUUUUGGGGUCGGUUCACAGGUGGUGCAUGGCUGUCGUCAGCUCGUGUCGUGAGAUGUUGGGUUAAGUCCCGCAACGAGCGCAACCCUUGUUCACUGUUGCCAGCACGUUAUGGUGGGGACUCAGUGGAGACCGCCGGGGUCAACUCGGAGGAAGGUGGGGAUGACGUCAAGUCAUCAUGCCCCUUAUGUCCAGGGCUUCACGCAUGCUACAAUGGCUGGUACAGAGAGUGGCGAGCCUGUGAGGGUGAGCGAAUCUCGGAAAGCCGGUCUCAGUUCGGAUUGGGGUCUGCAACUCGACCUCAUGAAGUCGGAGUCGCUAGUAAUCGCAGAUCAGCAACGCUGCGGUGAAUACAAUCCCGGGGCU
rnacentral:rRNA from 1 species